rnacentral:rRNA from 1 species
GACGGAGGAUGCAAGCGUUAUCCGGAAUUAUUGGGCGUAAAGCGUCCGCAGGUGGCUAGUCAAGUCUGCUGUUAAAGCGUGCAGCUCAACUGCAUAUGGGCGGUGGAAACUGAUUAGCUAGAGUAUGGUAGGGGUAGAGGGAAUUCCCGGUGUAGCGGUGAAAUGCGUAGAUAUCGGGAAGAACACCAGUGGCGAAAGCGCUCUACUGGGCCAAAAACUGACACUGAGGGACGAAAGCUAGGGGAGCGAAAAGGG